rnacentral:lncRNA from 1 species
UUUUUGGAAACAUGAUGGUUCCAAGUUUGAGAUCUGUCCAGACGUAGCCGCCUCUGCCCGCCACUUUCGAUACCAGUUUCCUUCUUUCUCCAAACUAAAUAUAUUCUGGGUGUUGUUAGCAGAAGGGCAGGCUGAUGGGUCUGCCGGGGAGAGAUCAAAGCAGUGGAGCUGCUGAAGGAGCAGAAUACCAUUCAGAGAAGAAGCAACCCAUGUUAUCUUUUUACAUGGCAAUCAAAGAACCAAUAGCUACCCACACUGUGUGAGACCCUUAUAACAUGUAAGGUACGAUGUUAGAC